GACGGACGCUGGCGGCGUGCUUAACACAUGCAAGUCGAACGGUAAGGCCCUUCGGGGUACACGAGUGGCGAACGGGUGAGUAACACGUGGGUGAUCUGCCCUGCACUUCGGGAUAAGCCUGGGAAACCGGGUCUAAUACCGGAUAGGACCACUGCCUGCAUGGGUGGUGGUGGAAAGCUUUUGCGGUGUGGGAUGGGCCCGCGGCCUAUCAGCUUGUUGGUGGGGUGAUGGCCUACCAAGGCGACGACGGGUAGCCGGCCUGAGAGGGUGACCGGCCACACUGGGACUGAGAUACGGCCCAGACGCCUACGGGAGGCAGCAGUGGGGAAUAUUGCACAAUGGGCGCAAGCCUGAUGCAGCGACGCCGCGUGAGGGAUGACGGCCUUCGGGUUGUAAACCUCUUUCAGCACCGACGAAGCGCAAGUGACGGUAGGUGCAGAAGAAGGACCGGCCAACUACGUGCCAGCCGCCGCCGUAA
rnacentral:rRNA from 1 species